rnacentral:rRNA from 1 species
UCGUGGGGCAGCAUGACUGUAGCAAUACAGUUGAUGACGACCGGCAAACGGGUGCGGAACACGUACGCAACCUUCCCAUAACUGGUGAAUAGCCCUCCGAAAGGAGGAUUAAUACACCGUAACAUAAUGAAGAGGCAUCUCUUUAUUAUUAUAGGCAGCAAUGUCGGUUUUGGAUGGGCGUGCGCCUGAUUAGGUAGUUGGCGGGGUAACGGCCCACCAAGCCUGCGAUCAGUAACUGGUGUGAGAGCACGACCAGUCACACGGGCACUGAGACACGGGCCCGACUCCUACGGGAGGCAGCAGUAAGGAAUAUUGGUCAAUGGACGAAAGUCUGAACCAGCCAUGCCGCGUGAAGGAUUAAGGCCCUCUGGGUUGUAAACUUCUUUUAUCUGGGACGAAAAAAGGGCUUUCUAGCUCACUUGACGGUACCAGAGGAAUAAGCACCGGCUAACUCCGUGCCAGCAGCCGCGGUAAUACGGAGGGUAGCAAGCGUUAUCCGGAUUUACUGGGUUUAAAGGGUGCGUAGUGGGUCUGUAAGUCAGUGGUGGAAAUCUCCGAAGCUUAACUCGGGAAAUUGCAUUGAUACUAUAAGGUCUUGAAUUAUCUGGAGGUAAGCGGAAUAUGUCAUGUACGGUGAAAUGCUUAGAUAUGACAUAGAACAGCAAUUGCGAAGGCAAGCUUUACUACGGAUAUUCAUUGACACUGAGGACACGAAAAGCGUGGGGGAUCACAAACAGGGAAUUAGAUA